rnacentral:rRNA from 1 species
UACGUAGGGGCCGAGCGUUGUCCGGAGUUAUUGGGCGUAAAGCGCGCGCAGGCGGCUUGGCGCGCCCGACGUGAAAGCCCCCGGCUUAACCGGGGAGGGUCGUCGGGUACGGCCAGGCUUGAGGGCGGGAGAGGGUGGUGGAAUUCCCGGUGUAGUGGUGAAAUGCGCAGAUAUCAGGAGGAACACCGGUGGCGAAGGCGCCACUCUGGGCCGGUACUGACGCUGAGGAGCGAAAGCGUGGGUAGCAAACAGG